rnacentral:rRNA from 1 species
UUGAAGAGUUUGAUCAUGGCUCAGAUUGAACGCUGGCGGCAGAGGCCUAACACAUGCAAGUCAAGCGGCGGACAAAUAAGUAAGAUACAAAAAUCUGGCCGAAGGCGGGGGGGAUAACCACUGGAAACGGUGGCUAAUACCGCAUAAUCUCUAAGGAGCAAAGUGGGGGACCGUAAUAACCUCAUACCUUUAGAUGAACCCAUAUAAGAUUAACUAAUAGGUGGGGUAAGGGCUUACCUAGGCGAAGAUGAUCAGCCACAUUGUGACUGAGACACGGCCCAGACUCCUACGGGAAGGAAACAGCAGUGGGGAAUAUUGCCCAAUGGGCGCAAGCCUGAUGCAGCCAUGCCGCGUGUAUAAAGAAGGUCUUCGGGUUGUAAAGUACUUUUACUUUAAAGUACUUUCAGUUGUGAGGUUAGCAAUUGACGUUGAAGCACCGGCUAACUCCGUGCCAGCAAAGGGUGAAAGCGUUAAUUGGAAUUACUGGGCGUAAAGAGCACGCAGGCGGUUAAUUAAGUUGGAUGUGAAAUCCCCGACUUAACUUGGGAAUGGCAUUCAAGACUGGUUAGCUAAAGUCUUGUAUAGGGGGUAGAAUCCCAUGUGUAGCGGUAAAAUGCGUAGAGAUGUGGAAGAAAUACCGGUGGCGAAGGGCGGCCCCCUAGACAAAGACUGACGCUCAUAUGCGGAAGCGUGGGGAGCAAACAGGAUUAGAUACCCUGGUAGUCCACGCUGUAAACGAUGUCGAUUUGGAGGUUGUGGUCAUGAGCUGUGGCCUGCGGAGCUAACGUGUUAAAUCGACUGCCUGAGGAGUACGGCCGCAUUAACGGGAGCCCCCGCACAAGCGGUGGAGCAUGUGGUUUAAUUCGAUGCAACGCGAAGAACCUUACCUACUCUUGACAUCCAGCGAAUCCUUUAGAGAUAGAGAAGUGCCUU